CACCGGGCAUUAGAGCCCCCUCAGUCUAAUGGCUUCCUUGUUUAGUCAAUGUAACAGCGGAACAGCGGCCCGCCUGAAUUUGGUACUUACGUGGCAGCCUGAGGAUGAAGUUCAUAUCUUGGUGUAGGGCAGCUGAAACUUCCUGGGAAAUCUUUUGGAUUUAUGACCAGAAGAAUAGAAGCAGAGUCUAUGGCAGCUACAGCUGAAGGAAAGUGAUGAGUCAUCCCAGAAAGGAGAGAGCCAGAAAAUGGAAGCCCCAGUAUUCAGCAUAGGACCAUCUGUCAAUCCAUAACUCUAGUUUCUGAUAGAACAUGGAAAGGUCAUUGGAGUUGUUUUUUUAUGGCAAACCUGAAUGAUGAACUUCCAUUGGUUCAAUUUAGAAUCUCUCCAACUACUAAAAACAAACUUUUUGCAAAAAGGAUAAAAUCUGAACAGAAACAGCUUCAUUUAUACUACAUAUUUUUCAAGAUGUUUAGAGUUGUGUAAAUAUGCCCUGUGGAAGAUUUCUAUUUUCUUGAAAAUACAGUUUGACUCCAUUAUGGAAUUAUAUAUAGAGAAAAGAUGGCCGUUUAACCUGCACAUGUUCAUAAAUAUGCAAGAUAUGUUUGCAGGAGUGAAAUUGUUUCUAAAUUAAGCCAAAGAUGAAAAUGUGACACCAAAAUAAAAGUACUUUCCUUGCCAACUUGAAUAAGGAAACUAAAAAAUCCUCAUGCAUAGGAAAAAAUGAAAAGGAAAUGGGCUUUACUUGUACCAUUGAUUACUCAGCUACCCUGAAGAUUAAAGUGAGGAGUCAUUUAAAGGAGAAGAAUCUCAAUGGCUAGAUCAGAUGAGAGGUUUUAGGAAUCCAGUGAGGUUGCAUGGUUUAAGUCAUAGGCAAAGAGAUGGAGAUGGUCUGGCUGUGAGGGCAUAACAAGAGAAGCUUGUCCAGGACAGAGAGGAAGAAAUGUAUCCGGAGACUCAGUUGUCUUAUCAAGAACAAGAGAAAUGAAUUCAUAAAGGCAGGACAAUUAUAGGGCAAGUAAUUUAAUACUAAAGGUU